AUGGUUUUUUCCAUGAGGGGCUUCUAAAAAAUAAAUACUUCCCGUUUGAUUUGUACAGCGUCGCCAUCGUUUUGUAGUGUAGAUAAUUCAAGACAUCUGGUUGACGUGUUUUGUAACCCAAAUCACAUUAUAAAUAAUGUCUAAUCAUAACGUAACAAACAACAACCUGGCGUAUAAUACAUACAAUACAUACCAUGUUAACGGUGAUGAGGUGCAGAUUGGAAAUGGUAAUGUAUUCCACCAGAGGAAUCAACUUCAAUCAGAGGUGGUUGACCUGCGGGAAGAGGUGGGUGAAUUAAAAGACCGAGUCAAACAAUUGGAGGAAAGAAUGGCCGCGUUAGAAAAUAAUAAUGAUGAUACAAACACCGAGGAACCAGAAUAUCAGAUGGAUGACACGGGGGAGGAGGAAGAGGAGGAGGAUAUGAUUACUCUUAAGAUCAUUGAUGUUGGUCGUGAGAUGACUAUAAGUAGAGAUAAAACUGUAAUUGAACUAGAAUCUAUGGUACAGGAGGAGUGUAGAAGGAAGUAUGGUAGAGAUCGUGGUGUUCGUUGUAUUACUGGUAUCUACAGUGUAAAACAAGAUAAGUUCAUCUACCACCGUUACAACAACAAAGAUCUAUCAUUAUCACAUUACGGUGUAGGUGAGGGUGAUAUAGUCGACUGGCGGUACAAGUCUAAUCAGAUAGUUUGAUUGUAUUGAUACCAAAGUAUGCCUAGUUUGUAUCAUAUUAGAAUUUAAAUGUUAAAUGAUAUCGGUUUGGUAUUAAAAUUUAAAUGUUAAUUGACAAUUUAUAUUGUAUUGUAUAUAAUUACACCUACUGUAUUUAAAAUAAACAUCUAGCGUAUA